GCGGUUUGGGCGGGCUCGCGGGGGCUGGCGGGGGCGCGGGGCCUGGCCACCCCCGCCGCUCUGGCCAGGCGCCCCUAUGGCCUUUCCCAGGUGACGCGCCCGCACCGACUCUCCGCGGGCGGAGGCGACACCUAUGAUCCCUUCGGCGACCUUCUUAGCCCGGCGCCAGAACAUUGGAUCAGAAGUUGAGCAUUACACUAUUGAGAAACAACGGAAGGAGCUACAGGUGCUCAUUGGAGAAUUGAAAGAUCGAGAUAAAGAACUCAAUGAUAUGGUUGCUGUGCAUCAACGACAACUUCUUUCAUGGGAAGAGGAUCGGCAGAAAGUUUUGACUUUGGAGGAACGUUGCAGCAAAUUAGAAGGUGAACUACAUAAAAGAACUGAAAUAAUUAAAUCACUCACGAAGAAGGUAAAAGUCCUUGAGUCCAAUCAAACUGAAUGUCAAGCAGUCCUUCAGAAGACUCAACUACAGCUUCAGGAGAUGGCUCAAAAGGCAACACAUUCUUCCCUCCUCUCUGAAGACCUUGAGUAGAGAGAGAAAAGAGGAAAGAUGAGUUACUGGAUAUUGCAAAGUCAAAACAAGAACGUACAAAUUCAGAACUGCAUAAUUUGAGACAGCAGAGACAUGUGUUUAUCAGACCUUGACAAUAACCACCUAAAAGUCGAUGCUAAGACGGAGAAAAGUCAGAAGUCACUGGUUAAGGACCCAAAAUUUGAAACCACAUUGACUCAGCAAAAUAGGCCAGACAAGAUUUCUUGUGAGGUAUGCAAAGGGAAGAAACUACAGAUUAAUACUGAAUCUGGGGAAAAAAAUAUAAUUGCUUUAUCAUCUCUGUUUACAAAAGACUUAAUGGAAAAACAAAAAUCUUGGUCUCUGGGUGGAAAAAUCCAGAGUGAACCGGAAAACAAAAUCACAUUGUGCAAGAUCCAUGAAACAUCAUCAAAAGGUGGUGGAAUUAGGUUUCAGAAUGAAGAGAAGCAGCUCUGGGAAAGUUCAGCAUCUUUACCUGAUGAAAAGCAGUGGCAUGAUGUCAGUGUUUACCUGGGCCUGACCGACUGCUCUGAUGCAAAGCCACCUGAAAAGCUGGAUGUGGACUGUCAUGACUUGAUGGAAAAGUCUGAGAUGUCAUGUGGCCCCAGGAAUGAAGGAUGUCAGAGUGACAGUGACCUGUAUGAAUCCAAGUGCUGCCACCCGAGUAACUUCAUAAUCGAAGCCCCAGGUCACAUGUCUGAUAUGGAGUGGAUGAGCAUUUUCAAGCCUUCUAAAGUGCAAAGAAUUGUUCGCCACAAAUCUGUGUGCACUUGUUCAUGAAGUGUCAGUGCAACAAAAUAUAACUCCUCGGCAAGUGAGCUAAUUGCCAUCCAACAUUCCCACUGUUUGAGUUCUUCAAAGUCUGCCCUAAGAGAGGAUGAGACAGAGGCCCCUCCUGAUAAAAAUAAUUUAUCCAAGGGUUUGUUAAUCAACAAAGAAGCAGCUUUGUCCAGCAAAAAGGAAGACUUCUCACCCACAAGUAAGCUUCAGCGAUUGCUGGCAGAAUCUCGGCAGAUGGUCACRGAUCUGGAGCUGAGCACACUGUUGCCCAUCAGCUGUGAGAAUUUCGACAGCAGUACCAGAAGUAACUUAGAAGUCUCAGAAGAGUCAGAUCAAAAGAAUACCUUUGUCAGUCAUUGAAAAAAACAAAGUCAACUUGAAUAUUCAUUGUUAUCUUGGCGCCAGAUUUCUCAUCUAUAUGGAGGACAGAAAGCAGACAUCAAUGUGACUUCACCUUAGAACAAGAGAUGACUGUGAUCCUUCACAGGCAGCAUUUAACACCAAAGCGGAGCAGAAACUAAAAGUUUAUUUUUUAAAACAUCUGUUGUUUUCAGUUAACCAUUUUCAUGUCUAAGAAAUAUUUCCAUUUGUAAAGUGAGGCCUUAUUGUAUGUACACGGAGUUAGAAUUAUGCUGAGAAGGAAAAAGGUCUCUGUAAAGGUGCAGGCUGUAGCUGGGCACUGGAGACUCUUCACAUGGGAGGUCAGGUGAGCGCCUGCGUGUAGAUGCCACCUUACCACCUGCUUUCCUAAACCCUGAACAUCAGAGUCAGCUCCAGAUAUAUGAGGAAUAAUUUUCUCUUCUCAUACAAUUUUAAUGCUGGGCUUUGCUGUGUUAACAGACAUGAGAUGAUAUGAUAUAAAAUGUUUUUAAGGGAAAAUAUCACCUUGGAGGCUGACAGGUGAGGUCCAUCUGUCCUAAGCCAGCAGAGCCCCGUCUUGUCUGGGUCCGUAACUCAAACAAAAGCUUGCUGGAAAACCAAGUUUCAUAUGAAUUUUUUUUAUAUUAAAGGACUAAAACACUUCCAUUUUAACUUGUAAAUUUUAUUUUUUAAAGAAUAUAAUGU